rnacentral:rRNA from 1 species
UCUAAGUUUGAUGGCGACCGGCGCACGGGCGAGUAACACGUAUCCAACCUGCCGAUGACUCGGGGAUAGCCUUUCGAAAGAAAGAUUAAUACCCGAUGGCAUAGUUCUUCCGCAUGGUAGGACUAUUAAAGAAUUUCGGUCAUCGAUGGGGAUGCGUUCCAUUAGGUUGUUGGCGGGGUAACGGGCCCACCAAGCCUUCGAUGGAUAGGGGUUCUGAGAGGAAGGUCCCCCACAUUGGAACUGAGACACGGUCCAAACUCCUACGGGAGGCAGCAUG